rnacentral:rRNA from 1 species
GCGGACGGGUGAGUAAUGCUUGGGAACUUGCCUUUGCGAGGGGGAUAACAGUUGGAAACGACUGCUAAUACCGCAUAAUGUCUACGGACCAAACGGGGCUUCGGCUCCGGCGCAAAGAGAGGCCCAAGUGAGAUUAGCUAGUUGGUAAGGUAACGGCUUACCAAGGCGACGAUCUCUAGCUGUUCUGAGAGGAAGAUCAGCCACACUGGGACUGAGACACGGCCCAGACUCCUACGGGAGGCAGCAGUGGGGAAUAUUGCACAAUGGGGGAAACCCUGAUGCAGCCAUGCCGCGUGUGUGAAGAAGGCCUUCGGGUUGUAAAGCACUUUCAGUUGUGAGGAAAAGUUAGUAGUUAAUACCUGCUAGCCGUGACGUUAACAACAGAAGAAGCACCGGCUAACUCCGUGCCAGCAGCCGCGGUAAUACGGAGGGUGCGAGCGUUAAUCGGAAUUACUGGGCGUAAAGCGCACGCAGGCGGUUUGUUAAGCUAGAUGUGAAAGCCCCGGGCUCAACCUGGGAUGGUCAUUUAGAACUGGCAGACUAGAGUCUUGGAGAGGGGAGUGGAAUUCCAGGUGUAGCGGUGAAAUGCGUAGAUAUCUGGAGGAACAUCAGUGGCGAAGGCGACUCCCUGGCCAAAGACUGACGCUCAUGUGCGAAAGUGUGGGUAGCGAACAGGAUUAGAUACCCUGGUAGUCCACACCGUAAACGCUGUCUACUAGCUGUGUGUGUCUUUAAGACGUGCGUAGCGAAGCUAACGCGCUAAGUAGACCGCC